rnacentral:tRNA from 1 species
UCUAUUUUGGCAGAUUAGUGCGUUAAAUUUAGAAUUUAAUUAAAAAUAAAAAUUUUUAUUUAAAUAGAA